CUUCCGUAGGGGUGACCUGCGGAAGGAUCAUUACCGAGUUGAUUCGAGCUCCGGCUCGACUCUCCCACCCAAUGUGUACCUACCUCUGUUGCUUUGGCGGGCCGCGGUCCUCCGCACCGGCGCCCUUCGGGGGGCUGGCCAGCGCCCGCCAGAGGACCAUAAAACUCCAGUCAGUGAACUUCGCAGUCUGAAAAACAAGUUAAUAAACUAAAACUUUCAACAACGGAUCUCUUGGUUCUGGCAUCGAUGAAGAACGCAGCGAAAUGCGAUAAGUAAUGUGAAUUGCAGAAUUCAGUGAAUCAUCGAAUCUUUGAACGCACAUUGCGCCCCUUGGUAUUCCGAGGGGCAUGCCUGUUCGAGCGUCAUUUCAACCCUCAAGCUCUGCUUGGUAUUGGGCCCCGUCCUCCACGGACGCGCCUUAAAGACCUCGGCGGUGGCGUCUUGCCUCAAGCGUAGUAGAAAACACCUCGCUUUGGAGCGCAUGGCGUCGCCCGCCGGACGAACCUUUGAAUUAUUUCUCAAGGUUGACCUCGGAUCAGGUAGGGAUACCCGCUGAACUUAAGCAUAUCAAUAAGCCGGAGGAA
rnacentral:rRNA from 1 species